rnacentral:rRNA from 1 species
GACGAACGCUGGCGGCGUGCCUAAUACAUGCAAGUAGAACGCUGAAGGAGGAGCUUGCUUCUCUGGAUGAGUUGCGAACGGGUGAGUAACGCGUAGGUAACCUGCCUGGUAGUGGGGGAUAACUAUUGGAAACGAUAGCUAAUACCGCAUAAUAGCAGUUGUUGCAUGAUAACUGUUUGAAAGGUGCAAUUGCACCGCUACCAGAUGGACCUGCGUUGUAUUAGCUAGUUGGUGGGGUAACGGCUCACCAAGGCGACGAUACAUAGCCGACCUGAGAGGGUGAUCGGCCACACUGGGACUGAGACACGGCCCAGACUCCUACGGGAGGCAGCAGUAGGGAAUCUUCGGCAAUGGACGGAAGUCUGACCGAGCAACGCCGCGUGAGUGAAGAAGGUUUUCGGAUCGUAAAGCUCUGUUGUAAGAGAAGAACGAGUGUGAGAGUGGAAAGUUCACACUGUGACGGUAGCUUACCAGAAAGAGACGGCUAACUACGUG